CCUACGGGAGGCAGCAGUGGGGAAUAUUGGACAAUGGGGGAAACCCUGAUCCAGCGACGCCGCGUGAGUGAAGAAGUCUUUCGGUACGUAAAGCUCUAUCAGCAGGAAAGAAAAUGACGGUACCUGACUAAGAAGCCCCGGCUAACUCCGUGCCAGCAGCCGCGGGAAUACGUAGGGGGCAAGCGUUAUCCGGAUUUACUGGGGGUAAAGGGAGCGUAGACGGCAGCGCAAGUCAGGAGUGAAAGGCAGAGGCCCAACCCCGGCACUGCUCUGGAAACUGUGAAGCUGGAGUGCAGGAGAGGUAAGCGGAAUUCCUGGUGUAGCGGUGAAAUGCGUAGAUAUCAGGAGGAACACCGGCGGCGAAGGCGGCUUACUGGACUGUAACUGACGUUGAGGCUCGAAGGCGUGGGGAGCAAACAGGAUUAGAUACCCCUGUAGUC
rnacentral:rRNA from 1 species